rnacentral:rRNA from 1 species
AUUGAACGCUGGCGGCAUGCUUUACACAUGCAAGUCGGACGGCAGCACAGAGAAGCUUGCUUCUUGGGUGGCGAGUGGCGAACGGGUGAGUAACAUAUCGGAACGUACCGAGUAGUGGGGGAUAACUGAUCGAAAGAUCAGCUAAUACCGCAUACGUCUUGAGAGGGAAAGCAGGGGACCUUCGGGCCUUGCGCUAUUCGAGCGGCCGAUAUCUGAUUAGCUAGUUGGUGGGGUAAAGGCCUACCAAGGCGACGAUCAGUAGCGGGUCUGAGAGGAUGAUCCGCCACACUGGGACUGAGACACGGCCCAGACUCCUACGGGAGGCAGCAGUGGGGAAUUUUGGACAAUGGGCGCAAGCCUGAUCCAGCCAUGCCGCGUGUCUGAAGAAGGCCUUCGGGUUGUAAAGGACUUUUGUCAGGGAAGAAAAGGCUGUUGCUAAUAUCAUCAGCUGAUGA